rnacentral:RNase_P_RNA from 1 species
CGAGCCGGCCGGGCGGUCGCGUCAGGGCCCUUCGGGGUCCUGCCGAGGAAAGUCCGGGCUCCACAGGGCAGGGUGGUGGGCAACGCCCACCCGGGGUGACCCGCGGGACAGUGCCACAGAGAGGAGACCGCCGGGGGCGCUCGCGCCGCCGGUAAGGGUGAAAGGGUGGUGCAAGAGACCACCAGCGGCCGGGGUGACCCGGUCGGCUCGGCAAACCCCACCCGGAGCAAGGCCAGACAGGGGACGUCCGAGGGCUGCCCGCCCGAGUCCCCGGGUAGGCCGCACGAGGCUGUCGGCAACGGCAGUCCGAGAUGGAUGGCCGCCGCCCCGCGCGAGCGGGGGCACAGAACCCGGCUUACAGGCCGACUCGUCCG